rnacentral:rRNA from 1 species
CUACGAGUUACUCCUCAUUGGCAAGGUUAAGUCUUUAAGGGACGAAUCCGAAGCGAAAGCGAGUCUGAAUAGGGCGAAUUAGUUAGUGGGGGUAGACGCGAAACUUGGUGAUCUACCCAUGAGCAGGUUGAAGUUGCAGUAACAUGUAAUGGAGGACCGAACCAGUAAACGUUGAAAAGUUUUUGGAUGACUUGUGGGUAGGGGUGAAAGGCCAAUCAAACUCGGAAAUAGCUCGUACUCCCCGAAAUGCAUUUAGGUGCAGCGUCGUGGUGAGUUUGAUAGAGGUAGAGCUACUGAUAGGGCUAGGGGGCUUCACCGCCUACCAACCCCUGACAAACUCCGAAUGCUAUCAAAUAUACACGGCAGUGAGGGCAUGGGUGCUAAGGUCCAUGUCCGAGAGGGAAAGAACCCAGAUCAUCAGCUAAGGCCCCCAAAUGUAUGUUAAGUUGAUCAAACGUUGUGCGAUUGCAUAGACAGCUAGGAUGUUGGCUUGGAAGCAGCCAUUCAUUUAAAGAGUGCGUAACAGCUCACUAGUCGAGC